rfam:Camelus ferus unplaced genomic scaffold scaffold595, whole genome shotgun sequence.
CCAAAGGCUCUUUUCAGAGCCACCUAUAGUUUCAUCUUGAGGAGCU